rnacentral:tRNA from 1 species
AAUAAAGUGCCUGAUUAAAGGAUUAUUCUGAUAGGAUAAAACAAGUAAAUAAAAUUUACCUUUAUUA